rnacentral:tRNA from 1 species
GGGAGAAUAAAGCAGUUGGGAGUGCGUCAGACGUGGGUUUAAGGAAUCAUAAUGAUUACACAUUUAUUAAUGAUCCUUCCACAGUGAAGAUAACCUCGGUUACAUUAUCUGAAGGUCACUGGUUCGAUCCCGGUUCAUCCCA